CAAUUGCCCACCGCACUAGAUCAAAAAGGGAGAAAGAAAGAGAACCAAUUUUGUAAUUACGACAAACAGUCGGCAAUCAGGGGCCAAUUGGGAAAAUCCCGAGACAGGGAGGAAAUGUUACCUGGAGAGUUUUGCCCUAACAUUUCAAGAACAAUUCCACCAUAUUUGAAAACCAACUAGCAAAGGAAUUAGAAGACCGGAAAAGACAGGAGCCAGAAGGAGUUGUUCUUCAAUACAUGGAUGACAUUCUGAUUGCAGCCAGGACCAGAGAUGACUGCAUAAAAUUCAAUACCCAUAGGACUGGACACUCCUGCACAUCCAUUCCAGCCUGGAGACUGGGUCUACGUUAGUCACUGGGACAGUGAUUCUCUGUAAGCCAGGUGGAAAGGACCAUUUAAAGUUCUGCUGACUACCUUCACUGCAGUCAAAGUUGCUUGCAAAGGACCCUGGAUUCACUACUCCAGAAUUAAGAAAGCUUCUGCUCCUGAAACAAUUGUAACAAUGAAGACUGAUGCAAAUGAUAAUAUAUUUUAAAUGGUUCCUCGUCUGUGUCUAAUUACUAUUCUUCUUUAUAUGAUACUUGAUUGUGUAAGAUAUUAUUCUCAUUAGAUGUUUAUUGAUAUUAGGUUUAUGUUUAUUAAGUAUACAUUUACUAUUAGAUAUUUAUGUAGUGUUAGAUAUUUAUUAUUGUUAGACACUUACUUGUCAUUAAAUUCUUAUUGCCAGUAAAUAUUUAGAAUAGAGACUUGACAAGGUAGAGGCCUUGUCGAGCCUCCAAAGUGGGGAAACCGAUGACUUAUGUUUUAAGUUUUUCUGGUCUGCUUUGGCAUGCAGCUUUAUAUUAAAGGUUACAAUGAUCUUUUCACUGGGUAGUGAAGACAAAACAAUCCUAUUCCAGCUGGGGACUCAA